AGCAAUCAACCCUCAGCCGCACCGCUAGGCGGGCGACGUCACUGCCCGGCGUGUUGUGGGUGUGGCCUCGUGACGCCCCGCCCCCGUUUCCUCUCACUUCCCUCCUACGGGUACCGUGCGCCGCUGCUGGCCCCGCCCCCCUGUGCGAGCUGGCCCGCGCCGGGUGUGACGUUAACCUUCGGGUGUCCGCGGGGCAUCGAAGGCCGGUAGUGGUACCUAUAGGCUCCCGGAUUCCAAAGUCCGAUGUGACCACCUUCAUCUCCCUGCCUUUUUUCUUUUUCUUUCUUUCUUUUAUAGCAAAAUCUCAGUAUGAAGCUCGGACUGUAGACAAGGAUGGCUUCGAACUCCUAGAGAUCCUUCUGCCUCUGUCUUCCGAGCCCUGGAAUUAAAGACAGGCGCCACCAAUGCCCAGCUUCUCCUGUCCUUUGCUGGUAAUGUGCCUUUGGGCAGGACCCUUCCCUUUGGGAGUCUCAUUUCUGGACCUACCGUGUGACUGGAAGGCACUUUUGUGCAUUGGGUACCGGUGCUGUGAAGGAAAGCUGCUCUGCAGGUUUCUUGAGGACAGGGGACUUGCGACCUGGAUCACAGCAGGCAGGAGCCAGAUAAGGACUGAGACAUCUGGCAGGCACCUGUGCCUAAGAGGAACUCUGCCCAGAACAGUCCUCAACCACACUCUCCCUGGGCAGAUCUGGACCAAUGGUGGCCUUCUCAAAUCACCACGGUCACCUUGUGUUUCCCAAGCCCUGCAGCUGAUUAAGUUACAUACGCCACACAGCUCAGCUGUAUUUGAGUAAUUCCUAAAGGCUUUCAGUGUGUGCCCUUUUAGGGUAAUUUUCAGGGAGUUGAUGAAUUCACAUAAAACCAGAAAGUAUUUCAAACUCUCCCACAGAUCAGAUUGCAGAGAAUGGCUUGCAAGCCAGCUGUGGGAUUUCACCCAAUGUCUGAUAGUCCCACAUAAACCACACUGGUGAUGCUGAGGACAGGUGCCAGUAUCAGUGUUUAUCAUGUCCCAAAGGUAACCAGCCAAGGGAAGAUAUUAAAAUCAUCCUUGGUUCACAGUUAGGCUGCUACUCCACCAAGGGGCCAUUUUCCCUCCAUGACAAAGAAUAGCAAUGUCACCAGCCUGUCUCCUCAAUGCUUGCCUCCAUCUCCCUGAGAAUGUUAUGUGUACCUCAGUGGGCCAUGUGAAGGGGAAAGACAGUGAUGGCCUAACUCCAAACCUCCACUACUCAGUGGUAUACUACUACAAGCAUGGGGACAGCCCGGACGACUCUAGUACAUGAGUUUGCUGGUGCAGUUUCAACAAUGGGUGCCAGAGGAACACACCUUAACUCACCCCAGCAGACCCUAGCUCACUUUGGUCCACAACAGCUUACUUACCCCAACACACCUCAGCAAUCCCAACCACUAGAUAUAAUAUGCCCAAAUCGCCGCCAGACUCUAGCAUAUCCCACCACACUUAAGCACAGGGUCUAGAUGUCACAGUGCUUAGGAUGAGGAAGGUGGCCUGAAGAAAGGCCUCAGGCUGCUGGACAUUGCCUCUGCCUCCCAUGAAGCUGGUCAGACCAGAGGGGACAUAGUGAGCUGACAGGUAUCCCAAAUGCAUGACAUCUCUGUGCCAAACCAGCUGGCCAGUGCCACCCUCCAUUAUGGCUGUCGCCUGCACCAGUCAGCUAUGUCUGAGACAGUCUUUGAAGACCCUAUCUGUCCAAAGAUGCUGAAUAUUUUACAACAGUAGCCUUAUUUUUCUGUACUUUUGCUAUUAAAAAAAAAACUGCUACAAGCAGACACUGAUCAACAGAAAGAAUUACCAAAUAUGCUUGGACUCUCUGCACUCUGGAGGCUAAGGAAAGAAGACUGUAAAUUCAAAGCCAGCCUAGCUACAGAACCAGACCCAAUCUCACAAAAUAUAAUGAAAACCUUCCAGAAACCUCUUCUCCUGUUGCUGAGGUCAGGACUUAUGAGAUGGCAUUGUCCCAGACUUGCACUCCCACGGGUCCUGGGAGGAUCCUUCCCGCUUCUUCCAGUUUCCUGUGUCCCUGUCACUUCAGUCUCUGUCUCCUCUCCUCUGCGACACUUUUCCUCCUCUUUGGGACUUUUUUUUUUUCCUCUUUGAUAUUUUUAAUUUUUAAAAAAAAUUACUUGAUGUGUAUAAGUGUUUUGCCUGCAUGUAGGCACCACACACCCGAGGAGACCAGAAAGGGUGUCAUACCCCCUGGGACUGGAGUUACAGAUGGUUGUGAGCCACUGUUUGAGCACUGAGAAUCUUACCUGGGUCCUCUGCAAGAGCAAUGUGAACAAGCUACACAAGCUCCAGCUGACAAGGACAGAGCUGCACCAGCCACCAGCCCUAUCCUGUCCUGAAAGACUACCCCUCUGAUCUAACUGUUGAGCCAAGAUAAAUCUCCUUUGGUUUUUGUUUUAUUUUUUUGUUUUGUUUUUCAAAAAGACUUAUGUACUUUAUUUGACGACAGUUGUGAUGGCUGUUCUUGGUGGUCAACUUAACUACAUAUGGAAUUAAGUAAAACCCAAGCAGCUGAUA